rnacentral:rRNA from 1 species
UGAACGCUGGCGGUAUGCUUAACACAUGCAAGUCGAACGGAAACGAUACUAGCUUGCUAGUAGGCGUCGAGUGGCGGACGGGUGAGUAACGCGUAGGAAUCUACCUGAUAGUGGGGGAUAGCCCGAAGAAAUUCGGAUUAAUACCGCAUAAUCUAUUCGUAGUAAAGUGGGGGACUUUCGAGCCUCACGCUAUCAGAUGAGCCUGCGUAAGAUUAGCUAGUUGGUAGGGUAAAAGCCUACCAAGGCAACGAUCUUUAGCUGGUCUGAGAGGAUGAUCAGCCACAUCGGGACUGAGACACGGCCCGAACUCCUACGGGAGGCAGCAGUGGGGAAUAUUGGACAAUGGGGGCAACCCUGAUCCAGCAAUACCGCGUGUGUGAAGAAGGCCUGAGGGUUGUAAAGCACUUUCAAUUGUGAAGAAAAGCUAGUGGUUAAUAGCCAUUAGCCUUGACGUUAACUUUAGAAGAAGCACCGGCUAACUCCGUGCCAGCAGCCGCGGUAAUACGGAGGGUGCAAGCGUUAAUCGGAAUUACUGGGCGUAAAGCGUGCGUAGGCGGUUUAUUAAGUCAGAUGUGAAAGCCCCGGGCUUAACCUGGGAACUGCAUUUGAAACUGGUCAACUAGAGUAUGGUAGAGGAAAGUGGAAUUUCUGGUGUAGCGGGUGAAAUGCGUAGAUAUCAGAAGGAACAUCAAUGGCGAAGGCAACUUUCUGGACCAAUACUGACGCUGAGGUACGAAAGCGUGGGUAGCAAACAGGAUUAGAUACCCUGGUAGUCCACGCCGUAAACGAUGAUAACUAGCCGUUGGGGGGAUUUACCCCUUAGUGGCGAAGCUAACGCGUUAAGUUAUCCGCCUGGGGAGUACGGCCGCAAGGUUAAAACUCAAAGGAAUUGACGGGGACCCGCACAAGCGGUGGAGCAUGUGGUUUAAUUCGAUGCAACGCGAAGAACCUUACCUGGUCUUGACAUCCUGAGAACUUUCUAGAAAUAGAUUGGUGCCUUCGGGAACUCAGUGACAGGUGCUGCAUGGCUGUCGUCAGCUCGUGUCGUGAGAUGUUGGGUUAAGUCCCGUAACGAGCGCAACCCCUAUCCUUAUUUGCCAGCACAUCAUGGUGGGAACUAUAAGGAGACUGCCGGUGAUAAACCGGAGGAAGGCGGGGACGACGUCAAGUCAUCAUGGCCCUUACGACCAGGGCUACACACGUGCUACAAUGGGAAGGACAAAGAGCCGCGAAGCCGCGAGGUGUAGCUAAUCUCAGAAACCUUUUCGUAGUCCGGAUUGGAGUCUGCAACUCGACUCCAUGAAGUCGGAAUCGCUAGUAAUCGUAGAUCAGAAUGCUACGGUGAAUACGUUCCCGGGUCUUGUACUCACCGC